rnacentral:rRNA from 1 species
AGAGUUUGAUCCUGGCUCAGAACGAACGUUGGCGGCGUGCUUAACACAUGCAAGUCGAGCGAGAAAGUCUCUUCGGAGGCGAGUACAGCGGCGCACGGGUGAGUAACACGUGAGUAACGUACCUUCGGGUGCGGGAUAACCUUCCGAAAGGAUGGCUAAUACCGCAUGAGACCACAGGGCCUUAUGGCCUAGCGGUCAAAGCUUUAUGCGCCCGAAGAUCGGCUCGCGGUCCAUUAGGUAGUUGGUGGGGUAAUGGCCCACCAAGCCUGAGAUGGAUAGCUGGUCUGAGAGGAUGAUCAGCCACACUGGAACUGAGACACGGUCCAGACUCCUACGGGAGGCAGCAGUGGGGAAUAUUGCGCAAUGGGCGAAAGCCUGACGCAGCAACGCCGCGUGUGUGAUGAAGGCCUUCGGGUCGUAAAGCACUGUCAGGAGGGAAGAACGAAGACGGUACCUCCAAAGGAAGCACCGGCUAACUCCGUGCCAGCAGCCGCGGUAAUACGGAGGGUGCAAACGUUGUUCGGAAUCAUUGGGCGUAAAGCGCACGUAGGCGGCUCAUCAAGUCUGAUGUGAAAUCCCGGGGCUCAACCUCGGAAUGCCAUUGGAAACUGGUGAGCUUGAGAGUAAGAGGGGUUAGUGGAAUUUCUGGUGUAGGGGUGAAAUCCGUAGAGAUCAGAAGGAACACCGGUGGCGAAGGCGACUGACUGGAUUAUUUCUGACGCUGAGGUGCGAAAGCGUGGGUAGCAAACAGGAUUAGAUACCCUGGUAGUCUACGCUGUAAACGAUGUUCACUAGUUGCUGGGCGCCUUGGUGUGCUCAGUGACGUAGCUAACGCGUUAAGUGAACCGCCUGGGGAGUACGGUCGCAAGAUUAAAACUCAAAGGAAUUGACGG